GCGGAGGGGGUGAGGGGUGCCGGGGUAGUGCGGAUGGGGGAAUGGUUACUGAGGAUGAUGGGGCGUAAAGCGGGCGCAUGCGGCUUAUGAAGUCAGAUGUGAAAUCCGUAGUCGCAACCUAGGAAGUGCAUGGGAGACGAACAAACUGGAGUAGCGUGGAGGGAGGUAGAAUGCCAGGUGGAGCGGUGAACUGCGUAGAUAUCUGGAGGAAUACCAGUGGCGAAGGCGACCUCCUGGACGAAAACUGACGCUCAAGCACGUAAGCAUGGGGAGCAAACAGGAUUAGAUACCCCGGUAGUC
rnacentral:rRNA from 1 species